rnacentral:rRNA from 1 species
UUAAACUAGAAGUCGACGCUCUUCGGGUUAGGGCAGACGGUGGAUAAGCGUGGGAUGGCCUAGAGGUGGGAAAACUGUGGAAACUACAGCUAAUACCGCAUACGCCCUUUUGGGAAAGAUUUAUCGCCUUUAGAGCAACCCGCGUCAGAUUAGCUAGUUGGUAGGGUAAUGGCCUACCAAGGCGACGAUCUGUAGCUGGUCUGAGAGGAUGACCAGCCACACUGGGACUGAGACACGGCCCAGACUCCUACGGGAGGCAGCAGUGGGGAAUAUUGGACAAUGGGCGCAAGCCUGAUCCAGCCAUGCCGCGUGAGUGAUGACGGCCUUAGGGUUUAAAGCUCUUUUAACAGGGACUAUAAUGACGGUACCUGUAGAAAAGCCGG